AUUUAAAGAAAGCGUAAUAGCUCACUGGUCGAGUCGGCCUGCGCGGAAGAUGUAACGGGGCUAAACCAUGCACCGAAGCUGCGGCAGCGACACUAUGUGUUGUUGGGUAGGGGAGCGUUCUGUAAGCCGUUGAAGGUGUGCUGUGAGGCAUGCUGGAGGUAUCAGAAGUGCGAAUGCUGACAUAAGUAACGAUAAAGCGGGUGAAAAGCCCGCUCGCCGGAA
rnacentral:rRNA from 1 species